AAGUUUAGGUUAAACCAAACCAAGAGCCUUCAAAGCCCUAAACAAGAGACAUCCGCCCUCCUAAC
rnacentral:tRNA from 1 species